CACGUAGGCGGAUUAUUAAGUCGGGGGUGAAAUCCCGAGGCUCAACCUCGGAACUGCCUUCGAUACUGGUAAUCUUCGAGUCCGGGAGAGGUGAGUGGAACUCCGAGUGUAGAGGUGAAAUUCGUAGAUAUUCGGAAGAACACCAGUGGCGAGGGCGGCUCACUGGCCCGGUACUGACACUGAGGUGCGAAAGCGUGGGGAGCAAACA
rnacentral:rRNA from 1 species